rnacentral:rRNA from 1 species
GACGAACGCUGGCGGCGUGCCUAAUACAUGCAAGUCGAACGCUUCUUUCCUCCCUUUUGCUUGCUCUCCAUUGGCAAGCGGAGUGGCGGCCGGGUGAGUACCACCUCGGUACCCUACCCUUCAGAGAGGGAUAUCACUUGGAUACAGGUGCUAAUACCGCAUAACAUUUUAUGCCGCAUGGCAUUUGAGUGUAUGGCGCUUUCGGGUGUCGCUGUUGGCUGGAUCCACGGUGCAUUAGCUAGUUGGUGAGGUAACGGCUCACCAAGGCGACGAGGCAUACACGACAGGAUAGGGUGAUCGGCGACACUGGAACUGAGACACGGACCAGACGCCGACGGGAGGCAGCAGAAGGGAAUGGUCGGCAAGGGACGAAAGUCUGACGGAGCAACGGCGCGUGAGAGAAAAAGGUGUGGGGAGCGGAAAACUCGGUUGUGAGGGAAGAACAAGGAGGGAAGUAACUGAACGGAGAGUGACGGUAACUAACAAGAAAGCAACGGCUAACUACGUG